CCUACGGGGGGCAGCAGUGGGGAAUAUUGCGCAAUGGACGAAAGUCUGACGCAGCAACGCCGCGUGAGGGAUGACGGCCUUCGGGUUGUAAACCUCUUUCAGCAGGGACGCGGUACCUGCAGAAGAAGGACCGGCCAACUACGUGCCAGCAGCCGCGGUAAUACGUAGGGUCCGAGCGUUGUCCGGAAUUAUUGGGCGUAAAGGGCUCGUAGGCGGUUCGUCACGUCGGGAGUGAAAACUCGGAGCUUAACUCCGAGCCUGCUUCCGAUACGGGCAGACUAGAGGUAGGCAGGGGAGAGCGGAACUCCUGGUGUAGCGGUGGAAUGCGCAGAUAUCAGGAAGAACACCGGUGGCGAAGGCGGCUCUCUGGGCCUUCCUGACGCUGAGGAGCGAAAGCGUGGGUAGCGAACAGGAUUAGAUACCCUUGUAGUC
rnacentral:rRNA from 1 species